AUGAACGCUGGCGGCGUGCCUAAUCCAUGCCAGUCGCGCGAACAGACGAGGAGCUUGCUCCUCUGACGUUAGCGGCGGACGGGUGAGUAACACGUGGAUAACCUACCUAUAAGACUGGGAUAACUUCGGGAAACCGGAGCUAAUACCGGAUAAUAUAUUGAACCGCAUGGUUCAAUAGUGAAAGACGGUUUUGCUGUCACUUAUAGAUGGAUCCGCGCCGCAUUAGCUAGUUGGUAAGGUAACGGCUUACCAAGGCGACGAUGCGUAGCCGACCUGAGAGGGUGAUCGGCCACACUGGAACUGAGACACGGUCCAGACUCCUACGGGAGGCAGCAGUAGGGAAUCUUCCGCAAUGGGCGAAAGCUUGACGGAGCAACGCCGCGUGAGUGAUGAAGGUCUUCGGAUCGUAAAACUCUGUUAUUAGGGAAGAACAAAUGUGUAAGUAACUAUGCACGUCUUGACGGUACCUAAUCAGAAAGCCACGGCUAACUACGUG
rnacentral:rRNA from 1 species